rnacentral:ncRNA from 2 species
GUAAUUUUGUGCCCGAAUGGUAGUAUUUGCUUGCCUUGUACAGGCAAAACUUUAAAAUGGGAAUCAGGUUAAAAUCCUGAGCUAUACCCGUAGCCGUAAGUUCCUUCUAUGUUUUUCGAAAUCUCUGACCACUGGAGAAAGCAGUCUGAUACGUAUUGCGAAUAUCUGGGAAGGUCUCGAAAAACGGAACAAGCCGGAAGACCUGCCAUAAACAACAUUAAUUG